rnacentral:rRNA from 1 species
CGGGGUGAGUAACGCGUGAGGAACCUGCCUCAGANAGGGGGAUAACACACCGAAAGGUGUGCUAAUACCGCAUAACAUAUGAGAGGGGCAUCCCUUUCAUAUCAAAGAUUUAUUGCUCUGAGAUGGCCUCGCGUCCAAUUAGCUAGUUGGUGAGGUAACGGCCCACCAAGGCGACGAUUGGUAGCCGGACUGAGAGGUUGAACGGCCACAUUGGGACUGAGACACGGCCCAGACUCCUACGGGAGGCAGCAG